AACGCACAUUGCGCCCCUUGGUAUUCCGAGGGGCAUGCCUGUUCGAGCGUCAUUACACCACUCAAGCAUCGCUUGGUAUUGGGAACGGUCCGUCGAAAGGCGGGCCUUCCUCGAAGACCUCGGCGGGGUUCAACCAACUUCGGGCGUAGUAGAGUUAAAUCGAACGUCUUAUAAGCUUGGUCGGAUCUCAUUGCCGUUAAACCUUUAAAUUUUCUAGGUUGACCUCGGAUCAGGUAGGGAUACCCGCUGAACUUAA
rnacentral:misc_RNA from 1 species